rnacentral:piRNA from 1 species
UGUGUUUGUUGCUUUAGUCUUUGUGAUC